rnacentral:rRNA from 1 species
GACGAACGCUGGCGGCGUGCUUAACACAUGCAAGUCGAGCGGGUAAGGCCCUUUCGGGGGUACGACGAGCGGCGAACGGGUGAGUAACACGUGGGUGACCUGCCCUCAGCUCUGGGAUAAGCCCGGGAAACUGGGUCUAAUACUGGAUAUGACUCCAUGACGCAUGUUGUGGGGUGGAAAGCCUUGUGCGGCUGAGGAUGGGCCCGCGGCCUAUCAGCUUGUUGGNGGGGUGAUGGCCUACCAAGGCGACGACGGGUAGCCGGCCUGAGAGGGCGACCGGCCACACUGGGACUGAGACACGGCCCAGACUCCUACGGGAGGCAGCAGUGGGGAAUCUUGCGCAAUGGGCGAAAGCCUGACGCAGCGACGCCGCGUGAGGGAUGACGGCC